AACGAACGCUGGCGGCAUGCCUAACACAUGCAAGUCGAACGGAUGUAGCAAUACAUUAGUGGCGCACGGGAUAGUAACGCGUGGGAAUCUGCCUCAUAGUUCGGAAUAACACCGGGAAACUGGUGCUAAUACCGGAUACGCCCUUCGGGGGAAAGUUUUUCGCUAUGAGAGGAGCCCGGGUUGGAUUAGCUAGUUGGUGAGGUAAUGGCUCACCAAGGCGACGAUCCAUAGCUGGUCUGAGAGGACGAUCAGCAUCACUGGGACUGAGACACGGCCCAGACUCCUACGGGAGGCAGCAGUGGGGAAUAUUGGACAAUGGGGGAAACCCUGAUCCAGCAAUGCCGCGUGGGUGAAGAAGGUCUUCGGAUUGUAAAGCCCUGUUGGCAGGGACGAUGAUGACGGUACCUGCGGAAUAAGCUCCGGCUAACUUCGUGCCAGCCGCCGCGGUAA
rnacentral:rRNA from 1 species